rnacentral:rRNA from 1 species
UGGGGAAUUUUGGACAAUGGGCGAAAGCCUGAUCCAGCAAUGCCGCGUGUGUGAAGAAGGCCUUCGGGUUGUAAAGCACUUUUGUCCGGAAAGAAAUCCUUGGCUCUAAUACAGUCGGGGGAUGACGGUACCGGAAGAAUAAGCACCGGCUAACUACGUGCCAGCAGCCGCGGUAAUACGUAGGGUGCAAGCGUUAAUCGGAAUUACUGGGCGUAAAGCGUGCGCAGGCGGUUUGCUAAGACCGAUGUGAAAUCCCGGCUCAACCUGGGAACUGCAUUGGUGACUGGCAGGCUAGAGUAUGGCAGAGGGGGGUAGAAUUCCACGUGUAGCAGUGAAAUGCGUAGAGAUGUGGAGGAAUACCGAUGGCGAAGGCAGCCCCCUGGCAAGUACUGACGCUCAUGCACGAAAGCGUGGGGAGCAAAC